rnacentral:rRNA from 1 species
ACUCAAAUGAAUUGACGGGGGCCCGCACAAGCGGUGGAUUAUGUGGUUUAAUUCGAAGCAACGCGCAGAACCUUACCUGGGUUUGACAUCCCACGACAAACGUAGAAAUACGUCUUUGUAGCAAUACACGUGGAGACAGGUGCUGCAUGGCUGUCGUCAGCUCGUGUUGUGAAAUGUUGGGUUAAGUCCCGCAACGAGCGCAACCCCUGGAUUUAGUUGCCAGCAUUAAGUUGGGCACUCUAAAUUAACUGCCAGCGUUAAGCUGGAGGAAGGUGGGGAUGACGUCAAGUCCUCAUGGCCCUUACACCCAGGGCUACACACGUAAUACAAUGGACAGGACAAAGGGACGCCAACUCGCGAGAGGGAGCUAAUCUCAAAAACCUGUCCUCAGUUCGGAUUGGAGGCUGCAAUUCGCCUCCAUGAAGGCGGAAUCGCUAGUAAUCGUGGAUCAGAACGCCACGGUGAAUACGUUCCCGGGCCUUGCACACACCGCCCGU